GUAGGUGAACCUGCGGAAGGAUCAUUACCGAGUUCAUGCCCUCACGGGUAGAUCUCCCACCCUGUGUCUACCUUACCUUUGUUGCUCUGGCGGGCCGCCUAGCUACUGGCUUCGGCUGGUAAGUGCCCGCCAGAGAACCCCAAACCCAAACCAUUAUCAGUGUCGUCUGAGCAAAAAUUUUAAUUUUUAAAACUUUCAACAACGGAUCUCUUGGCUCUGGCAUCGAUGAAGAACGCAGCAUCUGACUGAC
rnacentral:misc_RNA from 1 species